rnacentral:rRNA from 1 species
CACCUGCGCCACAAGUGGCAAUCACGUUUAUUGGGCCUAAAGCGUUCGUAGCCGGCAAUGUAAAUCUUUUGUGAAAUUGUAUUGCUUAACAUUACAUCGUGCAGGGGACACUGCAUUGCUUGAGACCAGGAAGAGUUGGAAGUAUGCCAAGGGGAGCGGUAAAAUGUUAUAAUCCUUGGUAGACUACCUGUGGCGAAGGCGUCCAACUAGAAUGGCUCUGACGGUGAGGAACGAAAGCCAGGGGAGCGAUCCGG